rnacentral:ribozyme from 1 species
CCCUGAAGGUCAAACUAAGUGCUAGUAGUUCUUUCUUAGGCUCUGGCUCCAGUGGCAGAGUGUUCAAGGUCGUGACCGAGGACGGCAGUGAGCGUGCGAUGAAGAUAGUUUACUCCGAGAACAUGGCUGAUAUUACUGCUGUGGAAGCAGAGUUGACCACCCUGCGGUCCAUC